GACGAACCACACGAACGUUAUUCGGAAUUACUGGGCUUAAAGGGUGCGUAGGCGGCGCAGAAAGUUGGGUGUGAAAUCCCUCGGCUCAACCGAGGAACUGCGCCCAAAACUACUGUGCUUGAGGAAGAUAGAGGUAAGCGGAACUUACGGUGGAGCGGUGAAAUGCGUUGAUAUCGUAAGGAACACCUGUGGCGAAAGCGGCUUACUGGGUCUUUUCUGACGCUGAUGCACGAAAGCCAGGGGAGCAAAC
rnacentral:rRNA from 1 species